rnacentral:sRNA from 1 species
GAGAUCGGGAGCGGGAGCCUGAGGCGGCGAGCUCCCGGGGCAGCCCUGUGCGCGUGAAGCGGGAGGUCGAGCCAGCGAGCGCGCGCGAGGCCCCGGCUUCUGUUGUCCCGUUUGUGCGGGUGAAGCGGGAGCGCGAGGUCGAUGAGGACUCGGAGCCUGAGCGGGAGGUGCGAGCAAAGAAUGGCCGAGUGGAUUCUGAGGACCGGAGGAGCCGCCACUGCCCAUACCUGGACACCAUUAACAGGAGUGUGCUGGACUUCGACUUUGAGAAACUGUGUUCUAUCUCCCUCUCACACAUCAAUGCUUACGCCUGUCUGGUGUGUGGCAAGUACUUUCAAGGCCGAGGUUUGAAGUCUCACGCCUACAUUCACAGUGUCCAGUUUAGCCACCAUGUUUUCCUCAACCUCCACACCCUCAAGUUUUACUGCCUUCCAGACAACUAUGAGAUCAUUGAUUCCUCAUUGGAGGAUAUCACGUAUGUGUUGAAGCCCACUUUCACAAAGCAGCAAAUUGCAAACUUGGACAAGCAAGCCAAAUUGUCCCGGGCAUAUGAUGGUACCACUUACCUGCCGGGUAUCGUGGGACUGAAUAACAUAAAGGCCAAUGAUUAUGCCAACGCUGUCCUUCAGGCUCUAUCUAAUGUUCCUCCUCUCCGGAACUACUUUCUGGAAGAAGACAAUUAUAAGAACAUCAAACGUCCUCCAGGGGAUAUCAUGUUCUUGUUGGUCCAGCGUUUUGGAGAGCUGAUGAGAAAGCUCUGGAACCCUCGAAAUUUCAAGGCACAUGUGUCUCCCCAUGAGAUGCUUCAGGCGGUUGUACUUUGCAGUAAGAAGACUUUUCAGAUCACCAAACAAGGGGAUGGAGUCGACUUUCUGUCUUGGUUUCUGAAUGCUCUGCACUCAGCUCUGGGGGGCACAAAGAAGAAAAAGAAGACUAUUGUGACUGAUGUUUUCCAGGGGUCCAUGAGGAUCUUCACUAAAAAGCUUCCCCAUCCUGAUCUGCCAGCAGAAGAAAAAGAGCAGUUGCUCCAUAAUGACGAGUACCAGGAGACGAUGGUGGAGUCCACUUUUAUGUACCUGACGCUGGACCUUCCUACUGCCCCCCUCUACAAGGACGAGAAGGAGCAGCUCAUCAUUCCCCAAGUGCCACUCUUCAACAUCCUGGCCAAGUUCAAUGGCAUCACUGAGAAGGAAUAUAAGACUUACAAGGAGAACUUUCUGAAGCGCUUCCAGCUUACCAAGCUGCCUCCAUAUCUAAUCUUUUGUAUCAAGAGAUUCACUAAGAACAACUUCUUUGUUGAGAAGAAUCCAACUAUUGUCAAUUUCCCUAUUACAAAUGUGGAUCUGAGAGAAUACUUGUCUGAAGAAGUACAAGCAGUACACAAGAAUACCACCUAUGACCUCAUUGCCAACAUCGUGCAUGACGGCAAGCCCUCCGAGGGCUCCUACCGGAUCCACGUGCUUCAUCAUGUGAGUGGCUGCUGACUGUCUCCUGGCACAGAGUGGCAAAAACAGCUGUUUCUUUGGCAUCUCAGAGGGCAGCUCCCUUCAGUUUGUCCUUGCUUGGCCUUGGCUUUGGGACUCUGCAAGUAACAGUGCUGUCAGUAGUUAGUUUAAGGCAGUGGUUCUCAAUUUUGGCUACACAUUGGACUCACCUUGGG